AUAGCGUAUAUUAAAGUUGUUGCAGUUAAAAAGCUCGUAGUUGAACUUCAGACCUGGCCGGACGGUCUGCCUAACGGUAUGUACUGUCUGGCUGGGCCUUACCUCUUGGUGAGCCGGCAUGCCCUUCACUGGGUGUGUCGGGGAACCAGGACUUUUACCUUGAGAAAAUUAGAGUGUUCAAAGCAGGCUUAUGCUCGAAUACAUUAGCAUGGAAUAAUAAAAUAGGACGUGCGGUUCUAUUUUGUUGGUUUCUAGGACCGAAGUAAUGAUUAAUAGGGAUAGUUGGGGGCAUUAGUAUUUAAUUGUCAGAGGUGAAAUUCUUGGAUUUAUGAAAGACUAACUUCUG
rnacentral:rRNA from 1 species